UGUCGCGGGGACCUGCGAGCCACAGAAAUGAAACGCGUACGAAUGGGAGCGCGCACAUGAGUGAGCGCUCACGAUCGGGUGCGAGCACGUUCUCCUCCGUCCCUUCCCUGUCCACGCGCACACAGGUGUCCGUUUGCAAGAUAAUCGGUGACACAGACACUUCUUCAUUCAAAUUUCCGCACACCGAGGACUAAGGCGACACUAAAAUCAGUGACGCUGCCUGACGCUGCCAGUGACGCUGCAAAAGGCAAAAACAAUCUACGAACUACUGCUUUGGCGCAUCGACGAAGUCACGUCCAUUGAAGAGGAUGAGACCACAUGUAACCACGCUGGCCGUUCCCCAGAACAGGACAUAAGCUAGAGUCUCCGUCCAUGUGUCACCUACGGAGGAAUGCCAGAUUUAUGAUUCUUUUAGACAGCAAGAGACAAAGCAGCUGAGCUGAAUGUUUGAUUGCCGCCUGCCAAUUUGUGGACCCUGGUUAAAGACCAUCGCCCACCAACAUCCUGGACACUUGGCUGUGGUAUCGUUGAUCAAGACACAGACACUCCAAUCUGCUCUGCGGGUACUUAAGUAGCUCCCUGCUUCAGUGUGUGCCACUAACUGUGUUUACUCCAAAUGAAGAGAUCAUUUAUGUACUUGGGUGUGUACAUGACAAACAGAUGAUUAUUCUUCCUCAAAUACAGCACUUCAUGACACAUCGGAAAAUCGCUCCAAUGGGGAUUCAUCAUCUGACCUGAACA